GGAGGGAAGAAGGAAGGAAGGAAUUUAGAGAUUAGGUUUCCAUAGACACUACUACUUUAUUUAAUAAAGAAAAUACCUUUCAACUCUAUUUCAUAUUUCUAUGUGCUUGUUAUUUAGUCAUAUUUUAGAUUACCUAGUAGAAUUUCCAGAAAGCUGCUUCUACAAAGAAUUGUGACAGAAAACAUUUGUAGAAGCAGGGAGUGGUGAUGCUUGCCUUUCCUCCCAGCAGGCAGAACUCUGACUCACGGGUCAACCUGCCAGGCCAGCCAGGGCUCUGUGGUAAGACCCUGUCUCAAAAGGGAGAUGCAGCGGGACUUGAUCAUAAAAGGUUUAAUCUACCACACACUGUCCGUAUGACUUCACCUCCUACCUGGUGUGGAUAGGCAAAACAAGCUGCUGAAACAUAUAGCCCAGUGGUGGAGUAGAUGCCUAGCAAGCCGUAGGCCCUGUGUUCAAUCCCCAGUACUGAAAACAUAAAAGUACUGCCAAGAUAAGCCACGCGAUAAACCUGAUUCCUACAGCAAAUCUUCACAAGCUCUAUAACAGAACGAGAAAGAUACAAUAUGACAAGGUCUCAGUAUGAAACCUGCCAAGCACUAGGCCCUGGGCGACCUGAAACUCACCAUGAAGACAAGCCCCACCUCCAGUUCUCAGAGAUCUGCCUGCCUCUGCAUCCUGCACAUGAAGAUUGAAGGUGUACACCACCAUACCUGGCUUCCCAAGGUGUAGCCCAGCCCGGCCUCUGCCUUCUCAGCGUAGCCUGCUGGAACGGGCCACCAUAAUAAACAAAUUUUAUUAUAGACGUCAAAAGUACAUAUCAACCGAAAAGUAGGUGCUAUUUUACAAUGCCCUACCAAAAAAAACAAUUAGAGGAACAAAAGCAGUGUUGAGAAAACCUUGUUCGUGGAACUCUGCGAGCAUGUCUAAGAAUGUUCUCUAAAAAAAUAUGUACUGGUAUGUCUGUAGAUCAAAAAUAUGAGAUGAAGGGUUCCCGCUUGCUUUUGAAAAUGCAAUGCCACUUAAGCAUUUUUAAAGUGCUGUAACUUUUUCAGCUAAGUCCACGAGAAGCGGGAACUUGACUGUGGCCUUCUGUUACGAUGGUGUUAUGGACAUGUGCCCUGAAACACUCCGCCACACACAUCUGCCCUAAACAUGCAUCAAGAAUGAAGAGGAAAUGUGGGUGUCAAGUAGCAGAAGCAGCCAGGCCGUGGCUGACCACCCCUUUCUGAAAGGGCAGACGAGAUGGUGAGAAGGGGCUGACGAUGGAGUCCUGCUGGACAUUGGGACAUUGCAAAUGGGUGGGGAGUGCUGGCUAACCGUGCUGGGGAGGAGAAAGCUACUGCAAGUGCAGCAUGCAGGUGUGACUUGCAUCACCAGAAGAGAAGCCACCCGUACAGCAUGCAGGUGUGACUUGCAUCACCAGAAGAGAAGCCACCAGUACAGCAUGCAGGUGUGACUUGCAUCACCAGAAGAGAAGCCACCGGUACAGCCUUCUUACCAGUAACUAUGCUAGCCCAUCUAGUGGGUGAAUCAGUUUUACCCAUCCAUCCAACAGGAUGCUCCCUUAGUCACGGCCCUUCCUAGCAAGAGAGAAGCUGAGCAAAGAGACUGCUGAGAGUCACAUAAGCUAACAAACCAGAAAUUCCUAAAGUGCAUGAAGAGGUUAAUGUCAGAAAACCAUCACAACCAGCAAUCUGGAGAGAAAUUCACUCCAGAGGAAUAAAACUAAUAUCCUGAAAAGAGCUUAAAAAUAAAUGUUUUAGGAGCUUUGAAGAAGUGCCGGGCAGUAGUGGCACAUGCCUUUCAUCCCAGCACUUGGGAGGCAGAGGCCAGCCUGCUCUACAAAGUGAGUUCCAGGGCAGGACUGUUACAGAGAAACCCUGCCGCAAAAAACCAACAAACAAACAGAAAGAAAGAACUGCAUGAAAAGGUACCGGGGAGAGGGCUAAGAAAUGGUAAGGUAAAGAAGGAAAGCUGGGAAUAGUGGGGCACGCUUGUGUCUCUGGCUCUCAGGAGCAUAAGGAGUAUGAGAUCAAGGCCAGGGGAUACACAGAGAGACGUCUCAAAAACAAGCAAAUUAUAUAUGAUAUGUAUAUGAUUUCAAAAGCCUUACAUCUAGCAAAUAUGUCUUCAACCUAAUCCCAAACAUAGCACGUGAGACUCAGGAAGAGGCCAGUAAUCCGAGUUUCAAGUCUCCCUCAAGUGAGUCUGAGGUGGGUGGGCGUGGAGAAUCAACAGCUGACGUGAAAUUUCCGGUUUCAUUUGACCUUGAGACUUACCGAGGUCACGCGUUUCCUUCUGCUCAGGUGAGCCUGUCCCCACUCCAGCACUGAACACACACACACACACACACACACACACACACACACACACACACACACACACACACCUGUGACCAGAGGAGCAGCACUAGCCCACAGCCACAGCUCCCAGGUUUGUGGUCCACCUCUGACACGAGGACUGUAAGCAGUUUCCUCCUGCAGAGAUAAACAAGGCUAACUACGGCAUUAACUGCCCUCCUGAGCUACUACAGGGUCAAAUCCAGUGAAGGUUUGCAGAUUGUUUUCCAAGUAUCUGUUUAAGAUAAGACAGUUAUAAGUGUCUGUUCUAGAUUUAAACCUUGACCACUUGAGGGAGGUUCUGAAGAGCUCUGAGGAAAACUGCAUACAAGCACCACAUAGAAAAGAGAAAAAUCAUUAAAUUUUACCUUAUACAUCUUUGCAUUUUAAUUACUAGAAGACACUGCAUUAGAACUGCCAUUGUUCUGAAGAUUUCUGCAAAGUUCUGAAGUCUUCAUGGGACUUUAAGCCCUAGGAGGCUGCACUAUAUUGCUGUGUUUUUUUGUGCUUUGGAAAGGAGUGGGCUGUGUUAUCCUAAUUGUUUUCUUUCCAGUAAGUUUAAUGAAUUUGACACAUUAUAUAUUGUACCUUUUU